rnacentral:lncRNA from 1 species
CCAUAAAGAAAUCAUUAAUCCAUCCCAGAAAUAUGGACUGUUUUAAUGUUAACAAUAAAGAUUGUCUAUAUCAAUAACUUUGAAACUCCCGGGGUGAUUCGUGCUUGUGCACUACUGCGCUUGAGCGACAGCCAUUAAAGAUGUCCUCGUCCUGUCUUCUUCAGUUUUCAGUAGUUGAAGGUGAAGUAUUGCAGUAUUGGUUUGUUGUUUGUUUAUCCUUUAUUUUAUCGCGUCAUCAAGUUGAUGAUGAUUUUUGAUUGCUGAAGGUCUUAAAUUAAGACGAAGGUGGGAAUAGAACUGCAGAUACAUAUUAUACUAAAAUCCACCAUGACAGAUGAAUAUGAUGCCAAGGAUUAGAUUUGAAAAAAGUUCUUCUCCUUUACAUUUGAUGAAAGCCAUUUUCAGCAAAGGUGGGAAUAGAACUGCAGACGCAUAUACCAAAAUCCACCAUGACAGACGAAUAUGCUGCCAACUACAGUUUUAGAUUUAAAACUCCUUUCUACAUCUGAUGGAAACCAUUUUCAGACCAAGAGCAGAGAGACUACGCCUCAUGAAGCUCAAAUCGAGGACGAUAGCAGUUCAAAGUAAAAAUAUAUAAUUAGUAAUAAAUUGAAAGUUCAAUUUUUGUAAUAUUUAAUAAAAAUCAUUGCAUUUU